rnacentral:lncRNA from 1 species
AGCACUAGUUGGCCACAGAUGUGGAUUUAAGUUUUCUAGCUGCCAAAAUGUAAAGAGGGAAACACGAUCCUCUGCAGGACUCAACAGUAUCCCUGAGAUCGAAUCUGACAAACUGCUCAGAAGGGGCACCUAUGCUUUUCCCUGAGAUGAAUGUCUCCCAUCGUCAGAUGUCAGAUUCUGGAUCUAUUUUGACAAGAGAGCUCAAAGGAUUUCUUCACAGAUGGAAAUGAGGGGUGCUAGACCUCCAGAGAGAGAAAAUGAGACACAUAAGGUGGAAAUUACUCUGUGGUGACACACUGUGGAGUCCUGCCCACAACCCGGAUACUUGGACCCACUCCACUGAAACCUUAGGCCACAGCUAAGUUCCUUCCUUCAAAAAAUAAAUCUAAGAAAGAGGAAAAACAGGAAUGACCUCCUUUCAGGCACUCUGUUGGUUUUAUGGCGCCUCUUCUUGCGAAUGUUUGUGUAAAAUUGACAUACUGUGGUCCUUUUCUGCACAAUUACGGCAAGGAAAAUUCAGAUCGCAAAGGUCCACCUUUCAUCUGCAUCUCAUUACCGGGUAGCAGGAAUAAGUAGGCUGACCCUCAGUUUGGACCGGGAACAGCUGUGU